rnacentral:rRNA from 1 species
UGGGGAAUAUUGCGCAAUGGGGGAAACCCUGACGCAGCGACGCCGCGUGUGGGAUGAAGGUCUUCGGAUUGUAAACCACUGUCGCGAGGGACGAAGCUCUGACGGUACCUCGAAAGGAAGCACCGGCUAACUCUGUGCCAGCAGCCGCGGUAAUACAGAGGGUGCGAGCGUUGUCCGGAAUCACUGGGCGUAAAGGGCGCGUAGGCGGCCCGGUAAGUAGGGGGUGAAAUCUCAUGGCUCAACUGUGAGGCUGCCUUCUAGACUGCCAGGCUUGAGCACAGUAGAGGCGAGUGGAAUUCCCGGUGUAGCGGUGGAAUGCGUAGAGAUCGGGAAGAACAUCGGUGGCGAAGGCGGCUCGCUGGGCUGUUGCUGACGCUGAGGCGCGAAAGCGUGGGGAGCAAACAGGAUUAGAUACCCGGGUAGUCCCUGAGCGGGCUGGCAAGGCGCAU